UAGCUCAGUCAGUAAAGAAUCUGCCUGCAAUGCAGAAGACCCGGGUUCGAUUCCUGG
rnacentral:tRNA from 1 species